GAUAGUAUACAGUGGUUAGAGCGUAGGUCUUGUAACCGAAAGGUCGCGGGAUCGAAUCCCGCUAGAGGCU
rnacentral:tRNA from 1 species